GCAAAUGCUCCGUCAUUGAGCAUAUAAUAGAGUGUCCACACGCUACGGCGUCUGCCAAUUUGCUUCUUAUCGGUGCGACAGCAGUAGUGCUUGUUGAAUGUGUGUGAACGCGUACAUACACCGAGUCUCUGGUGUCUGGUGAGCUUUACCAUCAAUCAACAGCACUCGCAUAUAAAAUCUGCCAUCUCAUCGGUUGUCAGUUCGGGUUGCUACUCAAUUCCUGUAUGCAUAAAAAUGCGAUAAGAUAAAACAAGGGUCAAAUACCCAGUG